CUGGGGGGGUUCAAUAGGCGUAAGGCGGAGGUUUCUCGAAGGGGCCGUGAGCGGAUCCAAAGAGGACCGGCGCGUUGGGUGACACGAAGUGCCUACGGGACCCCCCUCGGGGAUCAUUUGUGGGGUAGCGGGUCCGUGAAAACUACUGCUGGUAGUCUGAGCAAAGAAAAGAAAAAGAAGGCGACAUUACGACCUGUUAGGUACCUGCGAGCCACUUUACAAGGUCGACCUUGAGAUUUAGAUUUUUCAAAGAGGCUCCAAGGAUGGCGGCAGCGAUGAUUCCCAGGAAGAGGCCGGUCACGUUGAGGACCACCGAGGCCCACAGCAGACGAUGGAGGUGGAUCACAUCCCAGCAGCCGCUGACCCCGAAGAAGGACGCAAUGACGCCAAUGCUGACAAAGAUAAUGGCCGCCAUCAGCUUGGAGAGAACAGACGUGAAAAAAGACGGUCAUGUGUCGUAUCACUUUAUGAAAAGCGACGUGGCAACACAAGCAAAUGUUUGGUAAAGAAAGCGUAAUAUGCGCACACAGAUAUGAUCGUAUAGUUCUCUGCUGUGUGUUCUGAUCGAGUAAGAAUAACACACACACACACUCGCACAGACACACGCUUGUUCUGAAGCCCCGGCUGCCCUGUGACAGAUGUCCCAUCAUAAACUUUAUAAUAACAUUUA